AGUGAACGCUGGCGGUAGGCCUAACACAUGCAAGUCGAACGGCAGCACAGUAAGAGCUUGCUCUUACGGGUGGCGAGUGGCGGACGGGUGAGGAAUACAUAGGAAUCUACUUUUUCGUGGGGGAUAACGUAGGGAAACUUACGCUAAUACCGCAUACGACCUACGGGUGAAAGCAGGAGAUCUUCGGACCUUGCGCGAUUGAAUGAGCCGAUGUCGGAUUAGCUAGUUGGCGGGGUAAAGGCACACCAAGGCGACGAUGCGUAGCUGGUCUGAGAGGAUGAUCAGCCACACUGGAACUGAGACACGGUCCAGACUCCUACGGGAGGCAGCAGUGGGGAAUAUUGGACAAUGGGCGCAAGCCUGAUCCAGCCAUACCGCGUGGGUGAAGAAGGCCUUCGGGUUGUAAAGCCCUUUUGUUGGGAAAGAAAAGCAGCAGGUUAAUACCCCGCUGUUCUGACGGUACCCAAAGAAUAAGCACCGGCUAACUUCGUG
rnacentral:rRNA from 1 species